CGACACGCAGCGGGAGAACCUCCGAACCGGAGGCGCCGAAGGAGCAACAUCCUCCCCGGGAAUCUCUCAGGCCCAGUACCGCAGCGAGGAG
rnacentral:ncRNA from 2 species